rnacentral:rRNA from 1 species
CCUACGGGUGGCAGCAGUGGGGAAUAUUGCACAAUGGGGGAAACCCUGAUGCAGCGACGCCGCGUGGGUGAAGAAGGAUUUCGGUAUGUAAAGCUCUAUCGGCAGGGAAGAAAAUGACGGUACCUGACUAAGAAGCCCCGGCUAACUACGUGCCAGCAGCCGCGGUAAUACGUAGGGGGCAAGCGUUAUCCGGAUUUACUGGGUGUAAAGGGAGCGUAGGCGGGUUUGCAAGUCAGAAGGGAAAUCCUAGGGCUAAACCAUGGAACUGCUUUUGAAACUGUAAAUCUGGAGUGCGGGAGAGGUAAGUGGAAUGCCUGGUGUAGCGGUGAAAUGCGUAGAGAUUAAGAGGAAUA